AGGAAGCAUGCAAGCAGGAGGUGGAGCUCAGAUGGGGUCGGUUGAAUUCAAAUAAAAGCCGCCAUGGCCGUCGUCGUCAUCCACAGACAGUCCAUCUCCUCCUUGCGCCCCUCCCUGUUUUCCCGAAAUUCGUCGUCCUUGCUCAAUCUUGGUUCAAUUCCUCGUAGCCAUAGAACCAUUAGCCCUCCCUCGACUGAUUUGAGUAGGUUUUAGCCCCUGCCGCCAACCACCACCGCUGCAGCGCCGUCGCCUUUCACGUUCAGCCCGCCGUCGAGCAGAGAGAAUUGGAUCGAGGUCGUCCAAGCCGAGUUCGUCAAGUCGUUACCCGAGGCUUCAGAAGAGGAGAAAGAAAGUUGAUCAGGAUAAAGCUCAUACAAGAACUGCAAGUUGAAGCAUUACCUUCUAAAUUAGAGAAAGGCAAGCACCGGAGCAUCUACACCUACUAAUUUUCCUAACUAUUGUUACUAUUUAUGUUUUUGCACAUGAAUGCUUAAGUCUAGGAGUUGUUUGCAAUCCAUUUCAUGCAUGAUCAACAUCCUUGACUUAAGGACAUCUUUGCCACAUUCUCAACUAGAUUAGAUUGAACCAAGUGUCUAAAAGAAACCUACACUAAAAGCAACCAAAGGGUUAAGGUAUUAUUACUCGAAGGUUCACUUGGUACAACAAGGCAGUGGUUAAUGUUGGAUAUGAUGGUCGAUGAGUACAGAGCAGAAAAGGAGUUCUGACUCGGUACUCACUUGCAAAGAAAGAAUAAGAAACUAUGGUAUGUUUAACCUUGAUCAGACAUGCGUAAACUGGUCAUAUGCUGACAUAUGGAACCAGCAAGCCCAGUAAGCCCGGUAGCUGGGUGGACCUAAAUUCUUGAACCAAGUUGUACCCCACUCGACGUGGAUAUAGGUGGCAGGGUUGUAGCCUGAAACCCGUGUUGUGAUCAGGCCCGACGGGGGGUCCUGCACGGGGGUGCGAACCCGGGUGUUGGUAUGCUUGGUUCAGGGUUUAGUAUCCUCCUUGUGAAAGGUUGCCACGUGCAGUUUACCGGAAGCUGUACGUGACGUGUGCCCAGUUAUCUCCUGUAGGAUGUAAAUCGAUUCGAAUCGCCGCAAUUCUCGGAUAUGAAUGCCGUUUGAUCUCGCUUAAACAUCGUAACUAAUUACGAUGUAACCAGUAUAAAAGUUGUUGCUUGUGAACCUAGAGGUAUCUUGGUGUCGGUGUAUUAGAGUUAAUCUUGAACUAGUGUCUAAAUGUAAGUCCUUAAUUAGGUAUAGUCACUGUUUUUGAGUCCAAACAUUUGAAAAAUGAGCCAGUCCACCAAAUACAACCUUGCAUGCUCCUUGAUUCUUUUUAUAGUUAUACUGGUAUAGUCGGGUCAGUCUUGCUGAGUACCUUCGUACUCAGUGUUUGUGCUUUAACUGUUUUAACAGUGCCGCCGGGAGAAGCGCAGGAGUGAAGACCUCAAGACCUGGGGUGUACGCCGAGUCCAUACACCUCCGGAUGUUUUACAAAAUCUUAUGAGAUUAAGCCUGCAUGUUAACCAACCCUACGAUUGUAGGAUCUACGUGUUUGAAACUCUGUAGAACUAGUUUGCACUAAGGUUUGUGCUAAUUGUAUAAUAAAUCUCAUCUUAUUUUUUUUGAUAUACAAUUAACGUCUAUGUGUAA